AUCUUGAAAAUUAAAAAAGUUGGCGGUAUUUUAGUCUAUUCAGAGGAAUCUGUCCUAUAAUCGAUAGUCCACGCUUUGAUUAACUUAUUUUUUUAAUUUGUAUAUCGCCGUAGUUGAACAUUUUUAAAUAAAUAUAAUGUUCAAGAUUUUAAGUGAUAAAAAAUCAGGUCAAGGUGUAGUUUAUAAAUAAGAAGAGAUGGAUUACAAUAAAUUAAUUUAUACGAAUAAUUUUUUUUAAUAAAAGUUUGAAGGUGGAUUUGAAAGUAAUUUUAAAUAAAUUUUUAAAAUGAUUUUAGCUCUAAAAUAUGUACAUAUCGCCCGUCACUUUCAUUUUAAGAUGGAAUAAGUCGUAACAUAGUAGAUGUACUGGAAAGUGUAUCUAGAAAGGUCAAAUUAAAGUUUAUUUAAACAUUUUAUUUACAUUAAAAAGAAUAUUGUUAAAUCAGUAUAGUUUGAAAUAAAAUUAUUAUUAUUAUUAUUAAAUUUAUAUAUAUAUAUAUAUAUAUAUAUUUUAUAAAAAAAACACUUUUUUUUUUUUUUGUUUUUUAAAAAAAAAAAAUUUUUUUUUUAUUUUAAAUAUGGGGGGAAAAAAUUUUUUUUUUUUUAAAAAAAAAAAAAUUUAUUUUUGUACCCGGGUAUCAGGGCUUCUUAAAUAAGAUUUUGUAUAAAAAUUUCUCGAAUCUAAAAGAGUUAUAAGUAUAUAAUUUUUAUUGUAGAAUAAAUAUUGUAAAUUUACUUAUGGAAGUGAAAUGCUAUUCGAUUUUAGAUAUAUCUAGUUUUUUAGGAAAAAAAUUUAAUUUUAUUUUUUAUUUAGUAUUUAGUUUAAUUUUUAAAAUUUACUAUAAAAAUUAAAUAUUUUAGGGGAUGAGCUUUAAAAUAAAUUAAUAAAAUUUAUAUUAUUUAUAGUAUUUUAAUAAGUAGAAUUAUAAGUUUUUAUCUUUAUAAGUGUUUUUCAACAAAUUAAUUUAUUUAAUAAAAUUUAUAUAAUUAUAGAUUUAUUUUUUAUACUAAAAUAAAAUUAUUAAUUUAAAAUAAUUUGAAAUAAUGAUAAAAUUAGUAUAAAUUUAUGUAUAUAUUUUUUAUUUUUAAAAGAUUAAAUAAAGGAACUCGGCAAAUAUAUUUUUCACCUGUUUAUUAAAAACAUGGCCUUUUGGUUUAUUUAUUUAAGGUCUGGCCUGCCCAAUGAAUUUAAUUUUAAUGGCCGCGGUAUUUUGACCGUGCAAAGGUAGCAUAAUCAUUAGUUUUUUAAUUGAAAGCUGGAAUGAAGGGUUUGAUGAAAAAAUAACUGUCUCUGUUUAAACUAAUUAGAAUUUUAUUUUUAAGUAAAAAAGCUUAAAUAAUUAUAAAAGACGAGAAGACCCUAUAGAGUUUUAUAAUAUUUUUUUAUUUAAAUUUUAGAAUUUAA
rnacentral:rRNA from 1 species